rnacentral:rRNA from 1 species
CUGGUUGAUCCUGCCAGUAGUCAUAUGCUUGUCUCAAAGAUUAAGCCAUGCAUGUCUAAGUACAAGCCUCAGUAAGGUGAAACCGCGAAUGGCUCAUUAAAUCACACCUAAUCUACUGGAAAGUUACAAGUUACUUGGAUAACUGAGGUAAUUCUUGAGCUAAUACAUGCGAAAAAUCUCGACUCACGGAGAGAUGCUUUUAUUAGAUCAAAACCAAACGGCUUCGGCCGUAACAUUGGUGACUCUGAAUAACUUUGGGCUGAUCGUAUGGCCUUGUGCCGACGACGUUUACUUCGAAUGU